UGGCUUAGUGGUUAGGGCAUUUGACUCACAAUCAUAAGGUCAUGAGUUCAAUUCCCAGU
rnacentral:tRNA from 1 species